rnacentral:rRNA from 1 species
UCGAGAAUCUUCGGCAAUGGACGAAAGUCUGACCGAGCGACGCCGCGUGCGGGAUGAAGGCCCUCGGGUUGUAAACCGCUGUCAGUUAGGAGGAAAUCUAUGGGGGUUCUCUCUCAUAGUUGACCGAUUUUCAGAGGAAGGACGGGCUAAGUUCGUGCCAGCAGCCGCGGUAACACGAACCGUCCAAACGUUAUUCGGUAUCACUGGGCUUAAAGCGUGCGUAGGCGGCUUGGUAGGUGAGAUGUGAAAGCCCACGGCCCAACCGUGGAAUUGCGUUUCAAACCCCCAAGCUUGAGGAAGACAGGGGUGUUGGGAACUUAUGGUGGAGCGGUGAAAUGCGUUGAUAUCAUAGGGAACACCGGUGGCGAAGGCGCAACACUGGGUCUUUUCUGACGCUGAGGCACGAAAGCUAGGGUAGCGAACGGGAUUAGAUACCCCCGUAGUCC